CCCCCUCGCGGCUCGCCCCGCCCGUGCGCAUUGCGCAGGCGCGGCCGCCGCGCGGUCACGUGGCGGAGCAGCAAGAUGGCGGCGCGCGGAGUGUGACCGAGGAGCCCCCCGAGCCCCCGAGCCAUGGUGACGGAGCAGGAGGUGGAGGCCAUCGGCCGCACGCUGCUGGAUGCGGCGCAGCCCCUGCCCGCCCGGUUCCGGGCCCUCUUCACCCUGCGCAACGUGGGCGGCCGCGCGGCCGUGGAGUGGAUCAGCCGCGCCUUUGGGGACGGCUCGGCGCUGCUGAAACACGAGCUGGCCUUCUGCCUGGGCCAGAUGCAGGACGAGGCGGCCAUCCCGGUGCUCAUCGGCGUGCUGGAGGACACGGCCCAGGAGCCCAUGGUCAGGCACGAGGCAGGUGAAGCCCUGGGUGCUAUUGGGAACCCUGACGUGCUGGAUAUCCUGAAACGCUAUUCCCAGGAUCCUGUGGUCGAGGUGGCAGAGACGUGUCAGCUGGCCGUGAGGAGGCUGGAGUGGCUGCAGCACAACAAGGAGAAGCCAGGCAGCAGCCAGUACCUCUCAGUAGAUCCUGCUCCCCCCGCUGAGGAGACAGAUGUUGCCAAGCUCCGGGAGAUCCUCCUGGAUGAGUCCCAGGAACUGUUUGAGCGCUACCGGGCCAUGUUUGCUCUACGGAAUGUGGGGGGCCAGGCUGCAGUGCUGGCACUGGCAGAAGGGCUGCGCUGCGGCAGCGCGCUGUUCCGCCACGAGAUCGGCUACGUGCUGGGGCAGCUGCAGGACGAGGCGUGCGUGCCGCAGCUGACUGCAGCGCUGCGCAGCCGCGCCGAGAGCCCCAUGGUGCGGCACGAGUGCGCCGAGGCGCUGGGAGCCAUCGCCCGGCCCCGCUGCCUGCGGGCCCUGCGCGCCUUCGCCGGCGACGAGGAGCGCGUGGUGCGCGAGAGCUGCCAGGUGGCCCUGGACAUGUACGAGUACGAGAACGGCGCCCAGUUCCAGUACGCCGACGGGCUCUGCAAGCUGCAGGGCUCCUCCUGAGCUGCUCCAGGGGUGCUCAGACUGGGCCUUUGGGCCCAAGCCGGAGGAGAAGGCAGGGAUGGCCGAAGGCCCAGAGGCAGAGUGGCUGGAGAAGGACGAGGUGCUGGUGGAGCAGAAGGUGGAGGAUGAAGGCAGCAGCAUCCUGCCCGGCACGGACAUCCCGCUGCAGCUGCUCGCUCCACGCAGCUCCGUCUCCUUUGCCGACUCCCCCAAGAAGAAGAGGUUCUUCUAGGGUCAGGGGACACCCCUGCCACCAGCUGGACCCUGCAGCCCUGCCUGACCAUUGGGUCAUGGCAUGGCCCUGGCCAUAGGCACUGCCCAGCGCUGGCACACAGCCUCCCCCUCCCUGCCCAGCCCUAGUGCUGCUCUGGGGCUCCUCUUGGGCUGUCAUGCCAAUAAAGCCACUUGCCCCAGCCCUGCUCGCCCCUUGGCCCGGCACAGUGCGGGGGUGGCAGGGCUGGGGCAUCCCAACUUUGCCUGGGGUAGGAGCACCCCUUGGCACAGCCAUGGGUGUGUAAAGGGGGGUGCUUGGGGGUGCAAAGCCAUGGGGUGGGGGUACAGCCCGUGGGGGCAGGGGGCAUGGACAUGUGCACAGGGGAAAAUGGAUCCCCCUCUCGGGAUCCUUGAUGCCAAGUCAGUGUGGGCACAGGGGUCGGGACUGAUGGAUGGACAGCUGGAUGCUGAGACUGGUGUGCCCCCACCACCCCCUCAGUGCCUUGGCACUGCCAGACCAUGCUCAGUGGCACCCAGAGGUGGCCCCAAACUAGUCUGGGGGGACAAAGCACCCUGAAGCCUCCCUUGGGUUCUGGGUGAGGGCACAGCAUGAGGGCUUUUUAUGGACCUGCAGCCCCUGUCUUUAACCCAGGCUGAGGCUGGAUCCCUGUGCCCCCAGUCACCUUCACCCCUUGAGGAAUUGCCACAGGCAGGGUGGCCCUGCCAAAGUCCACUGUCCCUCCCUGGGGUGCUGGUGGCCACCCUCUGCCUCAGUUUUCCUUGUGCCCUGGUGGGUGGGCACCCUGCCAUGGUCUCCCUGAGGUAAUCUGUGAGUAUUUCACUCUUGGCAGUAUGUAGGCACACACUCCCUGAGGACAUGAUGGGGUCCCACCUGGGAUUGUCUGGGGGCAGCUGGCUUGUGCCCAGGGGAGGGCUGGGGGUGGCCUGGCAUUGCCCACCCCUCUGUGGCACCCCAUUCCCAUGGGAUCUGCGCCAGCCCUGCCAGCAGGGAACAGGGGGAACCAGGCAGGGCGGGUACUUCUUCAGCCAUCUGUUCUUCACCUUGCACCCACCUGCCCACCUGUCUGUCUGUCCCUCCAUCCACCUGCCCAGUCCUGGGCACAGGGACAUGCCUGUCCUUUACUGCUGUGCCCCUGGAAGUGGUGGCCUGUGCCAGGGGAGUGGUGCCACGUGCCGGGGUGACAGGAGUCCCAUUGCCAUGGUGCUCGGUGCCACUUUGUCCUCUUGGGGCCAAUAAAGGUGCCCGUUGCCUUGGGUGCAGAGUGCAAGCACAAUAGCAGCAGGUGGCAGAAGCUCACCUCCAGGAGCAGGAUCCAGACGUGCCCCAGCCCUGCGCCCAAAAAUGCCAAAGCUCCUGCAGCCCCUCUCGCUCCUGGUCCUGCUCGUCCUCGCUUCCACCGCCCAGGGACAGGCUGGCACGGGCCCCAAGGUGCUGCAGCCGUGGCUCAUUGGCCUCACGGUCGUUGUCGUCUUCCUCUUCUUCGUCUUCGUGGUGCUGCUCGUUAACCGGCUCUGGAGCCUCAGGAAGAAGAGGAAGGAGAAGGACCACGCGGAGACUCUGGGGACCGACAGGCUGGGGCGCUCCAGCCACGUCAACCAGGCGGCUGAGGACUGGGAGGAGCUGAGCUACGACAGGCAGCAGAACAAGGCCACGUCCUUCUGAGCCCCCCCGCACCCCUCACCCGCUCCGGAGCGCCUCUGACGGGCACCGCGCCCUCACCCCGUCCGCGGGACGCAGAUCCGCGCCGGGUUUUGGCGACAGCCGCGGCCACCGUGGCACCUCCCGCCCGCGGCCGGCCCGGCUGCGACCAAAACCCGGCGUCGAUCAGCCGCUCGCCGGAGCGGAGCGGGGAGGGCGGCGGCAGCGGCGCCUGCCCUGUCCCCCAGCCCCGGCCCGGGGGGACAAGGACAGUCCCCUCCCCAGACGUGCCCACUAAAGCUUUCCCCAGCC